rnacentral:rRNA from 1 species
GACGAACGCUGGCGGCGUGCUUAACACAUGCAAGUCGAACGGAAAGGCCUGCUUUCCCUUGUGGAUUGCGGGUACUCGAGUGGCGAACGGGUGAGUAACACGUGAGUGAUCUGCCCCCAACUUGGGUAUAAGCCUGGGAAACUGGGUCUAAUUCCCGAUAGGACUGCAGGGUGGUGCCUGUGGUGGAAAACGAUUUUCUAGUGGUUGGGGAUGAGCUCGCGGCCUAUCAGCUUGUUGGUGGGGUAAUGGCCUGCCAAGGCGGCGACGGGUAGCCGGCCUGAGAGGGUGGACGGCCACAUUGGGACUGAGAUACGGCCCAGACUCCUACGGGAGGCAGCAGUGGGGAAUAUUGCACAAUGGGCGGAGGCCUGAUGCAGCGACGCCGCGUGGGGGAUGACGGCCUUCGGGUUGUAAACUCCUUUCGACCGCGAGGAAGCCACCUGGUUGGAAGGGUGGUGACGGUAGUGGUAGAAGAAGCACCGGCUAACUACGUG